rnacentral:rRNA from 1 species
GUCGAGCGGAGUUUAUCCUUCGGGGUAAGCUUAGCGGCGGACGGGUGAGUAACACGUAGGCAACCUACCCUCUAGACUGGGAUAACUACCGGAAACGGUAGCUAAUACCGGAUAAUUCCUUGACCCUCCUGGGAUUGGGAUGAAAGGCGGAGCAAUCUGCUGCUAUAGGAUGGGCCUGCGGCGCAUUAGCUAGUUGGUGGGGUAACGGCCUACCAAGGCGACGAUGCGUAGCCGACCUGAAAGGGUGAACGGCCACACUGGGACUGAGACACGGCCCAGACUCCUACGGGAGGCAGCAGUAGGGAAUCUUCCGCAAUGGGCGAAAGCCUGACGGAGCAACGCCGCGUGAGUGAUGAAGGUUUUCGGAUCGUAAAGCUCUGUUGCCAGGGAAGAACGUCCGGUAGAGUAACUGCUGCCGGAGUGACGGUACCUGAGAAGAAAGCCCCGGCUAACUACGUGCCAGCAGCCGCGGUAAUACGUAGGGGGCAAGCGUUGUCCGGAAUUAUUGGGCGUAAAGCGCGCGCAGGCGGCUGCUUAAGUCUGGUGUUUAAACCUUGGGCUCAACCUGGGGUCGCACUGGAAACUGGGCAGCUUGAGUACAGAAGAGGAAAGUGGAAUUCCACGUGUAGCGGUGAAAUGCGUAGAGAUGUGGAGGAACACCAAUGGCGAAGGCGACUUUCUGGGCUGUAACUGACGCUGAGCGCGAAAGCGUGAGGAGCAAACAGGAUUAGAUACCCUGGUAGUCCACGCCGUAAACGAUGAGUGCUAGUGUUAGGGGUAUCGAUACCCUU